GUGGGAGGAGGCUCAGGACUUUGACCGCGUGCCUGUUGAAGAAUGAGCUGGCUACUCAUAGGCAGUGGCUUGGUGAAGGGAAACCAUCAGAAUCGUAGCGAAAACGAGUCUUCACAGGACAAUUGUCACUGCUUAUGGACCCGAACCUGAGUGAUCUAUUCAUGAUCAAGAUGAAGCUUGGAUGAAACUAAGUGGAGGUCCGAACGAGUUAACAAACUUAUCAUAUAUGGUGCAUUGUGAUUAAAUGACGAUAUAAAACUUGAUUGUCAGUAUAUAACCCUUUUCUCAAACAAAAUGUUAAA
rnacentral:ncRNA from 1 species